CUGCUUGCGCCAAUCCAUCUCCGUUUCCCGCGAGCAGCGAGGCCUACAGCUGCAACGGACGCGGGCAGGCGCGCGGAGGCGGGCAGCCAUUGGCUGCCUGGUGCAGCUACACCAAUAAUUGGCUGGCAGAGCGCCAACCGGCAAGGGUAGAGCAUACGCCGCGGAAAAGCUGCGGGGCGCGAAUGGCGCGGGACGCAAGGCGGCUGUUCGUGGAUGGCCACGGGACAGCACGCUCAUUGGAAACUGGUAAUCAGCCUAGGUGACGGAGACUCCAGC
rnacentral:lncRNA from 1 species